CUAGCUCAGAACGAACGCUGGCGGCGCGUCUAAGCAUGCAAGUCGGACGGCAGGGCACCUUCGGGUGUCCGAGAGUGGCGAACGGGUGAGUAACACGUAAGUGAUCUGCCCUGCAGUUGGGGAUAGCCUGUGGAAACACAGGGUAAUACCGGAUGAGAUGUCAAUGAUUGAACUAUGGCAUGAAAGUGGCUACGGCCACGCUGCAGGAUGAGCUUGCGGCUCAUUAGCUAGUUGGGGGUGUAACGGACCACCAAGGCGACGAUGAGUAGCCGGCCUGAGAGGGUGAACGGCCACAUUGGAACUGAGAGACGGUCCAGACUCCUACGGGAGGCAGCAGUGGGGAAUAUUGGGCAAUGGGCGAAAGCCUGACCCAAGCGACGCCGCGUGAGGGAAGAAGGUCUUCGGAUUGUAAACCUCUUUCAGCAAGGAAGAAGAAAGUGACGGUACUUGCAGAAGAAGCCACGGCUAACUACGUGCCAGCAGCCGC
rnacentral:rRNA from 1 species